GAAUGCUAAUACCGCAUACGCCCUACGGGGGAAAGCAGGGGAUCUUCGGACCUUGCGCUAAUAGAUGAGCCUAAGUCAGAUUAGCUAGUUGGUGGGGUAAAGGCCUACCAAGGCGACGAUCUGUAGCGGGUCUGAGAGGAUGAUCCGCCACACUGGGACUGAGACACGGCCCAGACUCCUACGGGAGGCAGCAGUGGGGAAUAUUGGACAAUGGGCGCAAGCCUGAUCCAGCCAUGCCGCGUGUGUGAAGAAGGCCUUUUGGUUGUAAAGCACUUUAAGCGAGGAGGAGGCUACUUGGAUUAAUACUCUAGGAUAGUGGACGUUACUCGCAGAAUAAGCACCGGCUAACUCUGUGCCAGCAGCUGCGGUAAUACAGAGGGUGCGAGCGUUAAUCGGAUUUACUGGGCGUAAAGCAUGCGUAGGCGGCUUUUUAAGUCGGAUGUGAAAUCCCUGAGCUUAACUUAGGAAUUGCAUUCGAUACUGGGAAGCUAGAGUAUGGGAGAGGAUGGUAGAAUUCCAGGUGUAGCGGUGAAAUGCGUAGAGAUCUGGAG
rnacentral:rRNA from 1 species